GUGGUCAGGUUCCCGACCUUCUCCUCUGGCGAAGCCGCCAGCGAUACCGUCAGCCCCAGCGCAUACACCGUAAUCGACAAGACCCGGGAACGCUUCAUCGUGAUCGCGAUGAGCACCCUGCUCUUGCUGAUCAGCCUCACACUGUUCGGCAUACUCUUCACGCUGCUCUCCGAGGACUUCGCGCCGUUCACAACGGUAAUAAGUAAGCACAAGCAUGUUUUUA